CCUACGGGAGGCAGCAGUGAGGAAUAUUGGUCAAUGGCCGGAACGCUGAACCAGCCAAGUCGCGUGAGGGAAUAAGGCCCUCUGGUUCGUAACCCUCUUCUGUCAGGGAGCAAAGGCGUCCACGUGUGGACGAGAGGAGAGUACCUGAAGAAACAGCAUCGGCUAACUUCGUGCCAGCCGCCGCGGUAAUACGGAGGAUGCGAGCGUUAUCGGGCUUUAUUGGGUUUACAGGGUGCGUAGGCGGAGUGUCAAGUCAGCGGGAAAAUUUCGGGGCUCACCCCCGUCGUGCAGUUGAUACUGACGCCCUUGAGUGAGUGAGAAGUAAGCUGAAUGCGUGGUGUAGCGGUGAAAUGCAUAGAUAUGACGAGGAACGCCGAUUGCGAAGGCAGCUUACCGGCGCUCAACUGACGCUGAGGCACGAAAGUGCGGGUAGCGAACAGGAGUAGAUACCCUUGUAGUC
rnacentral:rRNA from 1 species